UUCAUCGUGUGGCUUAUUAGUUUAAUACCCCUAUAGUUGUUGCAGCACUGGAUGUCCCCUUUGUUCUUGUACAAGGGCACCAUUGUACUCCACCGCCACUCAUCCGGCAUCCUUUUAGUCUUAAAGAUCGUAUUAAACAACCUAGAGAGCCACUCCCCUCCAGAUCUACCCAUGCACUUCCAGAACUCUACCGGGAUCUCGUCAGGCCCGGUUGCUCGACCCCUACUCAUCCUACGCAGCGCCCCUAAGACCUCCUCCACCCUAAUGCGCCUGCAGUACCCAAGGUCUCUAUGUCGCUCUGAAUGCCCCAACUCCCCUAGCUCUAUGCUCCGAUN
rnacentral:lncRNA from 1 species